rnacentral:misc_RNA from 1 species
GAUGAAGAACGCAGCGAAAUGCGAUAAGUAAUGUGAAUUGCAGAAUUCAGUGAAUCAUCGAAUCUUUGAACGCACCUUGCGCCCUUUGGCCAUUCCGAAGGGCAUGCCUGUUUGAGUAUCAUGAACACCUCAACUCUUCAUGGUUUUCCAUGAUGAGCUUGGACUUUGGGGGUCUUGCUGGCCUGUGGGUCGGCUCCUCUCAAAUGAAUCAGCUUGCCGGUUUUUGGUGGGCAUCACAGGUGUGAUAACUAUCUACGCUUGUGGUUUUCCACCAGGGUAACCUUCAGCAGUGGAGGUUCACUGGAGCUUACAAAUGUCUCUCCUCUGUGAGGACAGCCCUUUGAAUGUUUGAUCUCAAAUCAGGUAGGACUACCCGCUGAACUUAAGCAUAUCAAUAAGGGAGGA